rnacentral:tRNA from 1 species
GCUGGCGUAGCUUAAGCCAAAGCAUGACACUGAAGAUGUUAAGAUGAAUUCUGAUAACAUUCCGCAGGCA